rnacentral:rRNA from 1 species
UACGUAGGGGGCAAGCGUUGUCCGGAAUUAUUGGGCGUAAAGGGCGCGUAGGCGGCUUUGCAAGUGGCGGGUGAAAUCCCUCGGCUUAACCGAGGAACUGCCUGCCAGACUGUGAGGCUUGAGACCGGGAGAGGUGAGUGGAAUUCCCAGUGUAGCGGUGAAAUGCGUAGAUAUUGGGAGGAACACCAGUGGCGAAGGCGGCUCACUGGACCGGAACUGACGCUGAGGCGCGAAAGCGUGGGGAGCAAACAGGG